rnacentral:rRNA from 1 species
AUUGAACGCUGGCGGCAGGCCUAACACAUGCAAGUCGAGCGGAUGAAGGGAGCUUGCUCCUGGAUUCAGCGGCGGACGGGUGAGUAAUGCCUAGGAAUCUGCCUGGUAGUGGGGGAUAACGUCCGGAAACGGGCGCUAAUACCGCAUACGUCCUGAGGGAGAAAGUGGGGGAUCUUCGGACCUCACGCUAUCAGAUGAGCCUAGGUCGGAUUAGCUAGUUGGUGGGGUAAAGGCCUACCAAGGCGACGAUCCGUAACUGGUCUGAGAGGAUGAUCAGUCACACUAGAACUGAGACACGGUCCAGACUCCUACGGGAGGCAGCAGUGGGGAAUAUUGGACAAUGGGCGAAAGCCUGAUCCGGCCAUGCCGCGUGUGUGAAGAAGGUCUUCGGAUUGUAAAGCACUUUAAGUUGGGAGGAAGGGCAGUAAGUUAAUACCUUGCUGUUUUGACGUUACCAACAGAAUAAGCACCGGCUAACUUCGUG